rnacentral:rRNA from 1 species
UACGGAGGAUCCAAGCGUUGUCCGGAUUUAUUGGGUUUAAAGGGUGCGUAGGCGGAUCUUUAAGUCAGUGGUGAAAGCCUGCAGCUUAACUGUAGAAUUGCCAUUGAAACUGAAGAUCUUGAAUUUGGUUAAAGUAGGCGGAAUGUAUCAUGUAGCGGUGAAAUGCUUAGAUAUGAUACAGAACACCGAUAGCGAAGGCAGCUUGCUGAGCCAAUAUUGACGCUGAGGCACGAAAGCGUGGGGAUCGAACAGG